UAAUAAUGCAAUAUACAACGAAUAUUCUCGAAAUUGCCAAGCACAAAACAGUAAGUAAAUAACAUCAGGAUUUACGUAGUUCCCCUCCAAUGCGGAGAGUACAUCUACGGCAGCAGCGACAGCUAUGAGCACUUCUUCACUAUAACAAGGUAGCUACAAGGUGAUCCGAGCCGAUCCAAAAAUGUGUCUCUCAAGUGUUUCCCAACCCCGAAACAACUACUCACUAUUUUAUCGCUCACAAGAAAGUAUUCCUACCACGGUAAAACAU
rnacentral:lncRNA from 1 species